AUACCUUUCUCGGCCUUUUGGCUAAGAUCAAGUGUAGUAUCUGUUCUUAUCAGUUUAAUAUCUGAUAUGUGAGGCCUCGUCCUCACAACGAUAUUAAAUUUAUUUUUUAUGGGGGAGAGUCUGCUGUGGUAGCUUGCUACCUGGACUCUCAAGUGUCGCCCUGGUGUUGCACUAUUGCUUGGGCUUGGCGCACCCCAA
rnacentral:snRNA from 1 species